CUAACCUGCCCACUGAUUUAUUAAAGGGCCGCGGUAUAUUGACUGUGCAAAGGUAGCAUAAUCAUUUGUCUUUUAAUUGAAGGCUGGAAUGAAUGGUUGAAUGAAGUAUUAACUGUCUCAUUUUAAAAAAAAUAAAAAUUUAAUUUUUUAGUCAAAAAGCUAAAAUGAAUUUAGAGGACGAGAAGACCCUAUAGAUCUUUAUAAUAAAGUAUAAUAAAAAAUUUUAGAUUAAAAAAAAGAUUAUUAGAUUGAAUUAUUUGGUUGGGGUGACAGGAAAAUUUAAUAAACUAUUUUUAUAUAAGACCAAUAAUUUUUGAAUAAUUGAUCCAAUUUUAUUGAUUAAAAAAUUAAGUUACCUUAGGGAUAACAGCGUAAUUUUUUUAGAGAGUUCUUAUCGAUAAAAAAGAUUGCGACCUCGAUGUUGAAUUAAAGGU
rnacentral:rRNA from 1 species